UACGAAGGGUGCUAGCGUUGCUCGGAAUCACUGGGCGUAAAGGGUGCGUAGGUGGAUUUUUAAGUCAGGGGUGAAAUCCUGGAGCUCAACUCCAGAACUGCCUUUGAUACUGGGAAUCUUGAGUUCGGGAGAGGUGAGUGGAACUGCGAGUGUAGAGGUGAAAUUCGUAGAUAUUCGCAAGAACACCAGUGGCGAAGGCGGCUCACUGGCCCGAUACUGACACUGAGGCACGAAAGCGUGGGGAGCAAACAGG
rnacentral:rRNA from 1 species